AAGACGCGAAAGGAGGUGUGACGUGCGAGGGCGAGCACCUAGUGUUUGAACGCAAAUGGUAGUCCCUGUGAGGGGAUUGUGGGCGAGGUAGAUUGUGAUUGUGUGGGUAGUUCAGUGCAUACUGGACAGGAAAAAGGAGGGAGAAAGAUUUUACAUGUACACAACUAGACUUGCGCAGGAUGACCCGCUGAACUUAA
rnacentral:misc_RNA from 1 species